rnacentral:rRNA from 1 species
UACGUAGGUGGCAAGCGUUGUCCGGAUUUAUUGGGUUUAAAGGGUGCGUAGGCGGUCUAUUAAGUCAGUGCUGAAAUAUCCCGGCUUAACCGGGAGGGUGGCAUUGAUACUGAUGGACUUGAGUAAAGUUGAGGUAGGCGGAAUUGACGGUGCAGCGGUGAAAUGCUUAGAUAUCGUCAAGAACACCGAUAGUGUAGACAGCUUACUAAGCUUUAACUGACGCUGAGGCACGAAAGUGUGGGGAGCGAACAGG